ACAAAAACAUCUCUUCUUGUUAUUAUUUGAAGUAUGGCCUGCCCGCUGACUUGGUUGAAGGGCCGCGGUAUUUUGACCGUGCAAAGGUAGCAUAAUCAUUAGCUCUUUAAUUGUGAGCUGGUAUGAAUGGUUUGACGAAGCAUUAACUGUCUUUGAUUUGGAUUGUAUUGAAUUUAUUGUUUUGGUAAAAAUGCCUGAAUUUUUUUGUGGGACGAGAAGACCCUAUAGAGUUUUAUAUAGUGAGUUUUUAUUAGUUUGUUAUAGUUUUUUGGGCUUAUUGUAUUUUGUUGGGGUGAUGGGAAGUUAAGUGUAACUCUUCUUUUUUACUUUCAUUGAUUUGUGUUUUUAUGAUCUUUUAUUAUUAAUUAUAAGACUAAAUUACCUUAGGGAUAACAGCAUAAUCUUUUUUGAGAGUUCUUAUUGACAAAAAGGUUUGUGACCUCGAUGUUGGAUUAAGGUGAAUUUUUGGUGUAGAGGCUUUAUUUAUUCGAU
rnacentral:rRNA from 1 species